UUAGUAACGGCGAGUGAAGCGGCAAAAGCUCAAAUUUGAAAUCUGGCACCUUCGGUGUCCGAGUUGUAAUUUGAAGAAGGUAACUUUGGAGUUGGCUCUUGUCUAUGUUCCUUGGAACAGGACGUCACAGAGGGUGAGAAUCCCGUGCGAUGAGAUGCCCAAUUCUAUGUAAAGUGCUUUCGAAGAGUCGAGUUGUUUGGGAAUGCAGCUCUAAGUGGGUGGUAAAUUCCAUCUAAAGCUAAAUAUUGGCGAGAGACCGAUAGCGAACAAGUACAGUGAUGGAAAGAUGAAAAGAACUUUGAAAAGAGAGUGAAAAAGUACGUGAAAUUGUUGAAAGGGAAGGGCUUGAGAUCAGACUUGGUAUUUUGCGAUCCUUUCCUUCUUGGUUGGGUUCCUCGCAGCUUACUGGGCCAGCAUCGGUUUGGAUGGUAGGAUAAUGACUAAGGAAUGUGGCUCUACUUCGGUGGAGUGUUAUAGCCUUGGUUGAUACUGCCUGUCUAGACCGAGGACUGCGUCUUUUGACUAGGAUGUUGGCAUAAUGAUCUUAAGCCACCCGUCUUGAA
rnacentral:rRNA from 1 species